CGGCUCCCCGGGGCUGCGCGGCGGCAGCGGCGCGGAGCGGAGCGAGCGGGGGAGCCGCGCUGCGAGGAGGAGCCGCCGCCUCAUCCUGCGGCACCGGCCCGGCCAGCGCAGGUGGCAGUGUAGAAGCCAAGAACAAAAACUGGCAGAAAUUGUGUUCUGUGUACGAGAAUAUGAAGAGUGUACUCAUGACUAAGCACAGGAACCUGGAAAACCACAGGCUUUAGUCAGGUGAUCCCUGAUGAGUAGCCAGCCCACCAAGAAGGGACUUGAGCACACAGGUCGUUUUGGAUUAAAGCUGUGGAUCAAUCAACCCAGAGCUCG
rnacentral:lncRNA from 1 species